UUUCUCGUCCUAACCAUGCCUAGCCUACCCGCCAUCGCCCCGUUUCUUGGAGACACAAGUCGUCUCAUUUCUUACCGAAAUUUUAGCGAGGCUUCAGCUGUUGGAUUUCUGUCGGCAAUUUUGUUCGUUGUAUUUUCUGAACCGUUGAAGACCUACGUUGAUUUUGGAGAAAAAUGGAUGAGUUUGUCUGGGUUACCUUAUCAGAUGAAUACGGCGAUGCUGGGGUUUAUUGUGGGAUUUGGAUUUGUGAAAAUAUUUCUUUUGAUGAGGAUUCAAUUAUUCAAAAUGCUUCUGAAUUAUCAAGGCUGGAUGACCAACCCCAAAAGCAUGGCUACCAAGAUGUGGGCCUUAAUGCUAAACGCUCUGAGAGGAAAUGGUCGGUACCCAACAUUUUUCUUCCAACCAAUGUUGCCUAAACUGCCAGUUCCUAAUUUAAAUGUCACACUGGACAGGUACCUUUCAUCAAUGAAGCCCAUUCUCUCUGACGAAGACUAUAUGAGCCUCCUUACAGCUGUGUUAGAAUUUAAAGAAAAGGACGGACCAGUUUUACAUAAAUUUUUAUGUAAUAGGGCUGCAACAGAAAACAACUGGCUCAUUGACUACUGGCUGAAGUAUGCCUAUCUGACUAACAGGGAACCUUGUGCAGGUAAUAGUCAGAUUCCUGGACACAACUAAAAAACAGCUACACCAGGAGCGCUAUAAUGCUAAUCUAGAUCAUCAUUGUCCUUUGAAGUUUUUAUUACACAUGUGCCAGAAACUUAAGGAUUUAGGACUAAAUUUAUGAAUCUGAGAAAGUACCUGAUGAAUGUGAUUUAACCCCCACCCCUGUGGCUCUCCAAAAUAACAAAAAAGAUAGAGCAAAAAUGUGAUCGGGACUGUUGUGUGCUGUAAUGGUAAACUGUUGCAUUAGAAAUUUGAACUUAUCAACUUGCUCUGAUUUGAUGUUUCAGUGAAAGUCAACUGUUAUGCGACUGAUCGAAAAGACCAACCAACUAACAACCAGUUAGCGAGAGCAGCGAACAUGAUUCACUAUGUCCUGAGGUGAGUAUUGUACCAGGGUCUCGUAAUUGUGUGUAGCUUGUUACUGCCACAGGGGGUAGAUGUGUCGUUUCACUCCCAGAAAGCCACCAACAGUGAAAUAAGACUUAGUAGUGCACAGUUCAACCAACAAAUCUAGUCAGUGACACCUGGGGGUCUCCUGUUGUUUGAAUCUAGUCUUUAUUUUGUUUGUAAGAAACUUUUCAGGGUUUGAUGUUGAUGUGAGAUUGCUUUCUGUGUAACUUAGAUGACAUGUUGUCUGAAGAGUUAAAUGUUACAGCUUAGUUAAGGGACAGACACUAGUUGUGUACAAUUCAUUCAUUGUUUGUAGUUGAGAUUUCCUCACUCCAUUAACUUUGGGCAUCCCUACUCCAAAUAAAGUUCUAUAUAUAGAUCAGAUAUUUACAAGGAGAGUAGACUUUAACCUUCAAUAGAUGACAAUAAUCAGAACAUGAGUAGGAACUAAUUGGUUCAAUGAUUUCACAGUCAUCUGCAAUAUUUGAAGCUCUUUACUUUAUAUCCCUCAUUGGGAGGAUAUAAAAACAUCUUGACUCGGUGGAAAUUACUCAUUCUGGCUUUUAUCAGCGGUAUUUCUAGUAGCGAUUUAAUUAAUGCAUAUGUAUAUAUGAUUCAUUCAAAGAAAUUAAAGAAAUUUUGUGCCAUUGAAAUAAUUUAAUGGGUAUAUUAAACAUGUCUAAGCUU
rnacentral:misc_RNA from 1 species